ACUUGAUAAAGGCAAACCUAUUGAAAAAUAGGGGCGCAAAGUCGCAGAUCUAAGGUAUUUACUAAGAUGGCUGGACUGCCGGG
rnacentral:ncRNA from 1 species